rnacentral:rRNA from 1 species
UGACUNGAGUGCAGAAGGGGAGAGUGGAAUUCCAUGUGUAGCGGUGAAAUGCGUAGAUAUAUGGAGGANCACCAGUGGCGAAAGCGGCUCUCUGGUCUGUCACUGACGCUGAGGCUCGAAAGCGUGGGUAGCGAACAGGAUUAGAUACCCUGGUAGUCCACGCCGUAAACGAUGAGUGCUAGGUGUUAGGCCCUUUCCGGGGCUUAGUGCCAGAGCUAACGCAAUAAGCACUCCGCCUGGGGAGUACGACCGCAAGGUUGAAACUCAAAGGAAUUGACGGGGGCCCGCACAAGCGGUGGAGCAUGUGGUUUAAUUCGAAGCAACGCGAAGAACCUUACCAGGUCUUGACAUCCCGAUGCUAUUCUUAGAGAUAGGAAGUUACUUCGGUACAUCGGAGACAGGUGGUGCAUGGUUGUCGUCAGCUCGUGUCGUGAGAUGUUGGGUUAAGUCCCGCAACGAGCGCAACCCUUAUUGUUAGUUGCCAUCAUUAAGUUGGGCACUCUAGCGAGACUGCCGGUAAUAAACCGGAGGAAGGUGGGGAUGACGUCAAAUCAUCAUGCCCCUUAUGACCUGGGCUACACACGUGCUACAAUGGUCGGUACAACGAGUUGCGAGCCGGUGACGGCAAGCUAAUCUCUGAAAGCCGAUCUCAGUUCGGAUUGGAGGCUGCAACUCG